GAAGAGAUGGCCGAGUGGUUGAAGGCCUAAUAUUGGAAUUGUUUACCGAGGGUUCGAAUCCCUCUCUUUCCA